rfam:Gossypium hirsutum cultivar TM-1 unplaced genomic scaffold scaffold2526.1, whole genome shotgun sequence
UGUUAAUUAUCAUUUUUUUGUACUGUUAAAAACCAACAUUACUGACAGAAUAACCAGAUAGUGACAAGUGGCGUGUCACGUAUACCUCAUGCUUAUAUACAAAGACCAAUUUUUAACAGUAAAAAUGGAUACAAUUUUUAACA